rnacentral:tRNA from 1 species
GGAGCGGACGCCUAAUUGGUAUGGCAGCGGGCUGUAACCCCGUGGUCUCUGACAUGCAGGUUCAAAUCCUGCCCGCUUCACCA